UAUUGGACCUAUACUUAUAUUAAGUAUUAGAACUAUCAAUUGGUAUCAGAGCUUUGGACUCCGGAAGGAAAGUUCAAAGGCACUUGAGUUAAAGAUCCAAAGAUGUAUAAGAGGGAUGCACCGAAGCUGAACAAGUCAAGUUUCUCUACAUGGCAGAAAAUGAUGAAGUUACAUCUAUCAGGAGUUGGAGAAUAUGUUGUAUACUAUCUAGAGAAUGAUUUUGUCACACCGAGCACCUAUCCAUUCACUAUGGAAGAGAUAAAGGCAAAGUAAGAACAUAUUCAAGCAAUGAUUGAAAUAACAUCUGCAUUGACCGAUUCAGAGUUUAAUGAUCUAGAAGGCUGCAAUGAUGCAAAGGCAAUGUGGGAUAAGCUCAUAUCAGUAUAUGGAGGAGAUGAACAUGUUCAAAGUGAAAAAGUAGACAGUUCAAGAGGACAACUUGAAUCCAUGAGGAUGAAUGAAGGUGAGAACAUAACUCAGUAUAGUACAAGACUAAAGGAGAUUGUCAAUCAAAUCAAAGGAGCAAGUGGAACUAUUGAAGAAAAAGAUAUAACAAGUAAGUUGUUAAGAGCCCUUCUACCAACUUAUGCAAUCCAAGUCUCAGCAAUCAGUGAAUUGAGGUCUGUACCUAAUAUGCCAGUUUCCUUGGAUGCUACUAUUGGUAAGCUACAUGCAUUUGAGUUAAGUAAUUUUGAUAAUAGUGGAUCUUCGGUAAAUAAAGUUGAAUCUGCAUUUAGUUCUUUUCAUCUUGAUGAAUCUAAUGAUUACAAUGAAAGAAAGUAUAAGUACUCUGAAGGAGAUCACAGUGGAGCAAGUGAAAGAUUUCGGAAGAACAUGGAAGCAGUACACAAACUGUAUGAAGAAAUCAGAAAGCAAGAAGAGUUUGAAGCACUAUUAGCCAAAAAGUUACCGAGAGGCAAAGGUAAGUAUAAAGGAAAACUACCUUUGAAAUGUUUCAAUUGUGAUAAGAUUAGACAUAUGGCUUCUAACUAUCCUGAAAAAAGAUUUUACUGAAAAGAAAGAUUACCGAGAUGACAGACAGAAAGAUAACCAUUAAAGAGGACACCGAGACUUUAGAAGAAGAGAUAGAAAGACAUGCUUAAUAGCUGAUGAAGAAUCUAACAAUGAUAAAUCAGAUGAGACUGAUAUAGAGGAAGUUGUUUAUGUGGCUAUCAAGGAUGGAUUAGAUGAAGAAAGGUAUGAAGAAAAAGCCCUAAUAUCUCACAUAAACACUAAUGAUUCUUGGAUUAUAGAUAGUGGAUGCUCACAUCAUAUGACAGGAGAUAAACACAAGUUUGUUAUGUUAGAAGAUUAUGAUGGAGGCUAUGUUAGAUUUGGUAAUGAUGCACCAUGUUCGGUAAGAGGUAAAGGAUCUAUAACACUUCUUGAUAAUGCAAGAUGCAAUGAUGUUUAUUGGGUUGAAGGUUUGAAAUACAAUUUGUUGAGUGUAGCACAACUAAACAACACAGGUUACCGAAUAGAAUUUCAGAAAGGAAUUGUCAAAGUUCAUGACAAGAAUGGAAAGUUAGCUGCUACCGGGACACAAACAAAAGGUAAUACAUUUCACCUUGACUCAACUCGAAAUAAGUGUUUGCAUGCAAAGAUUGAUGAUACUUGGCUAUGGCAUAAGAGGUUUUGUCAUGUAAAUUUUGAUAACCUGAUCAAGAUAAGUAAGAAGCACAAAGUAAGAGGUCUACCGAGUCUUGAAAAACCUGAGAAUGCUAUGUGUCGAGGAUUCUAGAUGGGUAAGAUGACAAGAUCAAGCUUUACAAGUAAGUCUUAUACUUCUAAGGGAAUUUUAGAUCUAGUGCACAUUGAUCUUUGUGGUCCUAUGAAAGUUCAAAGUUAUUAUGGUGAUAAGUAUUUCAUAUUAUUUGUGGAUGACUAUUCAAGGAUGAUGUCAGUAAUGUUUUUAAAAGAAAAAUCAGAAGCUUUUCAAAUGUUUAAAUGGUACAAGGCAAGAGUUGAAAAUGAAAUAGGAAGACAACUGAAAUGUCUUAGAUUAGAUAGAGGAGGAGAGUUCACAUCUGAUGAAUUCAACUUAUUCUGCAAUGAUCAUGGUAUUAAAAGACAACUCUCUGCACCUAGAACUCCACAGCAGAAUGGAAUAGCUGAAAGAAGAAACAGAUCUAUUGUGGAUUGUGCUAGAACACUGAUGAUUGAGAAGAAGGUGUCACAAACAUUUUGGAGAGAAGCAAUAAGCACAGCUAUUUACACCUUGAACCGAGUUCAAUUGAAGAAAGGUACUUUGAAGACACCAUAUGAGAUCUGGUAUGAUAAGAAACCUAAUGUUAGCUAUUUUAAAAUCUUUGGAAGUAGAUGCUAUGUUCAUAAAGAUGAUAGAAAUGGCAAGUUUGAUCAGAAAAGUGAAGAAGGGACAUUUCUAGGUUAUUCUUCUAGAAGCAAAGCAUUUAAAUGUCUGAUCAAAUCAUCUAACAAAAUAGUAGAAAGUGCAAAUGUGAAAAUUAAUGAAUUUGCAGAAAGAAAUGAUGAAGAAAAUUCCAAAGAACCAAAAGACUAUGAUGAAUUUGUCUAUGUGCAACAGAGAAGUCCUACCAAGAAAACUGUUGAAGAAAAUGAAGAAAAUAUCCAGUUACCAAGUGAUGAAGAAGAUCAUAUAGAGCCUACCGAGCCUGUAAUAGCCAAGUAUGCCAGAAGACAUCAUGCACCAAGUUAGAUUAUAGGAGAUAAGGAUGAUCCAGUGAUGACAAGGAACAAACUGAGACAGAACACAUGUUUGAUAUCUGAAUUUGAACCGAGAAUAGUAAAAGAGGCAUUUAACAGUGAAGAUUGGGUAAAUGCUAUGAUAGAAGAGAUUGAUCAAAUAAAGAAGAAUGACACAUGGACACUAAUCCCAAGACCGAAGGACAAAAAUAUAAUCAGUACAAAGUGGAUUUUCAGAAACAAGCUAAAUGAAAAAGUGGAGGUCAUUCGAAACAAAGCAAGAUUAGUUUGCAAAGGUUAUGCACAAGAAGAAGGAAUUGAUUAUGGUGAAACUUUUGCACCUGUUGCUAGACUUGAAGGAGUAAAAACAUUGUUGGCCUAUGCUGCUUUCAAGAACUUCAAGAUAUAUCAAAUGGAUGUCAAAUCUGCAUUUCUGAAUAGAAUAUUAGAAGAAGUUUUCAUUGAACAACCUGAAGGAUUUGUUGAAGACAAUAAUAAAGAUCAGGUAUGUAAGUUGAACAAAGCUUUAUAUGGUUUGAAACAAGCACCAAGAGCAUGGUAUGAAAGAUUGCACUCUUACUUGAUUAAGAUUGGUUUUAUAAGGACAAAUGAGAACAGCAACAUGUACAUGAAGAAUGAUGAAAAUGGAAUACUGAUCUCAGCCAUAUUUGUUGAUGAUAUUAUAUUUUGUGGAAAUGACUCUUUAUGCAAGAAAUUUGGAAAUGAAAUGAGCAGAGAAUUUGAGAUGUCAUUAAUCGGUGAGAUAAAGUAUUUUAUAGGUCUACAUAUACUGCAAAUGAAAAAUGAGAUUUUCAUUACUCAAUCCAAAUACAUAAAGGAAAUCUUGAAGAAAUUUGGAAUGGAUGAUUCAAAACUAGUAAGUACUCCUAUGACUACCAACUGUAAAUUAUCGAAGAAUGAUGAAUCUGCAUUUGUUGAUGAGACACACUACCGAUCCAUGAUUGGAAAACUACAAUAUGCUAUUCACAGCAGACCAGACAUAGCACAUGCAGUAGGUAUAGUUGCAAGAUUCUCUGCAGAUCCUAAGGAAACACACAUGACAGCAAUCAAAAGAAUUUUUAGAUACUUGAAAGGCACAGAGGAUUAUAGCUUAGUAUAUCAGAAAGGAAAUGAUUUUGAUUUAAAAUUUUAUACUGAUGCUGAUUGGGUAGGCAACAUUGAUGACAGAAAAAGCACAAGUGGUGGAGCUUUCUUUUUAGGAGAAAGACUAGUGAGUUGGCUUAGCAAGAAACAAGGAUGUGUUUCAUAGUCAACAACAGAAGCUGAAUACAUUGCUGCAGCAUUGAAUUGUACCAACAUUGCAUGGAUCAAACAACUGUUGGAAGGUAUAAAUGAGAAAGUUACCGAGACAGUAACUAUAUUCUAUGACAAUACUAGUGCCAUUAAUAUUUCAAAAAAUCUUGUUAUGCACUCUAAGACAAAGCACAUAUCUAUCAAAUAUCAUUAUCUUAGAGAAGAAGCUCAAGAGAAGAAAGUGGUGUUGGAAUAUGUUAGCACAAAGGAGCAAAUAGCAGAUAUCUUCACCAAGCCACUACCAAAGGACACUUUUGAAUAUCUUAGAAGUAAGUUAGGGGUCCUACCCCUAUCUUCUACUCACUGACCGAGUUCGUUGAAAGCAUCAAUCCGAUGACUCUAUUGAAUAUCUUUUGGGAGUUGAUGUUGGAGUUAUACACUUUAGGAUGUUUUCUAAAAGUGUACUGGAAUUAAUACUGGAAAUAAUACAGAGAAUAUUAUAGGGAACAAGAAUUGAAGACAAAUGCUCUGAUCGAGACUCAGUUGAUACACAACAGCAGGAAAUAACUUCUUACAGAAACAAAUUAUGUUUUAGUUCUUUUCUUUUUGGCAUUGUUGUCAAAGGGGGAGAAUACCUAUGAAAGGGGAGAAGAGCAGACUACAGAUUGGAAAGAAGACUGAGAAAAUAGGAGAAGUCUAAUGUAUGGGGGAGAGCAUUUCAGCAUUCAGAAUCACAGCAAUCCGAAUCUACUAAGGUCAAAUCAAUUGGUUUUUCCAUCAAUGCCAAAGGGGGAGAUUGUUGGCAAUAUUGCAUUAUAACAGACUAUGAAAGAUUGUUGGCAUUUCAAUAAGGAUAUUAAGAAGGUUGUUGAUGAUUAUGGAUAUAACUGAUUAAAGAUGUUUUACUAUCUUGAUAUUAUUAUUUUUUCAUUGAUGUCAAGAAAUUGAUUUUCUAAUUCAGUAUGAUGUUGCCAUAUCAUGAGAAGUAUGAUAUGAAGAUUAUGAAGAAGUCGGUAAAAGACACAGGAAAGAAUAUGAUGAAUAAAGGGAUGAAUAAGGUAUUCAAUGGGCAACUACUACCGAGUCAGACAAUGAUGAGAUCAUGAUGUUUUAGAUUGUUUUAACAUCAUACAUAUGUUGUAAAAUGUAAAGGUUAAUACUAUACUAUGUUAUCAACCAAAGAACCUAGUCGAUAAACCCUAAGGAACCUAGUCGGUAAACCCUAAGGUUAUCGCUAUCGGUUAAUGAAGGCGGAAUGUCUACUGAGUGAAGUUUAGUAUUCACCGAGUUGUUACCGAGUUGUAACUAAGCUAUAACAGAAUGCAUUAAAUGUUUACAUGCUGUAUUUAAUGAAAGAAGCUGAUGAGCUGGAGCGGAUCAAUGAUUGGUAAGCCGUGGAAGAAGUUUGUUAAUGAAUCUAAGGCACAAGAAAGUCGGCAUGAAGAUCUACAUCUCAGAUUGAACCGCAAUACCUUGGCACAAGUUCCAAGACUAUUAUGCAAGUUCCAAGGCGGGGUAAAACAUUUUCAGAUCGAAAGAUGCAUUGAACCUGGACAAGAUUGCAGAUCUGAUGGCUAUGAUUGAUCAUGGGAAAUGUGAUCAAGGAGAUUAAGCGGUUACCUAAUUGUUUAUAAAUAGGAAAUUGUUGAUAAAGAAUGUAUGCGGGCAAGUGUAUGCACAGGGAUGCUACAUAGUGAUUACCGAGCAGAGAAGCUUGAAGACCUUUUAGAAUAACAGAGUAUAGAAGCCUAGCAGAUAGACAAGAUUAGUUCUAUGUCUAGAUUGUAUUGAACAAAUAAGAAUCUGCUUUAGCAUUUUAGAUGUGAAGUUGCAGAUAGAUUUUUAUCACUGUUAUUUUGGGAAAGUGACAGAAAAUCUCUUAACCGAGUGGACUUAACAAUCUUAUAUGUAAAUCCUCUAGCAAGGUGACAUUCUGAUUGAGUGUUUGAAAUUCUUUGACAAGGUCACUUCUAACAAAGUGAAGAUCCUAACAGAUCUGAGGGAAAUCCCUUAACCGGGUCACAUCUAGCAAUGUGUUUGUAAUCUUUAACAGGAUUUGCUUUUAACCGAGCAUACUCUAGAAGAGUAUAUUUCUUAGUGGGUCCGAAAUCCAACGGUGGUUUUUCCCUAUUUGGGUUUCCACGUUAAAUCUGGUGUUAUGAGGUUUAUAUUGUUCAUAUGCUUUUGAGUUUGCAUGUUUGAUAGUUUUGGUUAUAUGACUGAUAUAUAUGUUACCGAGGUUGAAUUUGAUGUUUUUAUGGAUGGUUAAGUUUGUAUGAUUCACCCCCCCCCCCCUCUCAUCUUGUUGGCUAUUGGAUCUGUACUUAUAUUAAGUAUCAGAACUAUCAGCAAGAGGGUGGAUAAAAACAAAUGAACAAAAGACAUAUUUGCUUCCUAUUAUUGUUCAUUUUCCAUUGGUACUAUAAACCUAAUUUAUAUAUCAUCAUAUUUUUUUAAUUGAUACUUGUGAAUUUAUUUACGCUCAAGCUCUUCCUUAAGAACAUGUGUUGUUGGUUGUUUCUUAAAUAAUUAUCAAUUUUGAUUAGGAAAGCAAGUUUGUUUGCUGCAUUCUUUAUUCUCUACAAAGAGCUUUAAAGAGCUUCCACCAGGAUUUGAGGAUUCUUUUUGUUUGUUUCCUGGGUCCUUUCUUGUUAGAUUUCACAUUGCUUCUGCAGUAUUUACUGAUUUCUUUUUAGUUUUUGUUAUUAUUGUUGUUGUAGUGGUGUUUUGUUUUGCUUGUAGGAAUGGAUGUCUUGAAUAUAGAUUGGAAGAACAUUGACGACAGAUUUGUGAGGGAUGAGUUUUAUGAAAAUAUUCAGGCACCUAAAUGGUUGGACUUCUUGGAACUAGAGGAACCUAUGGAUGAUGAUGCCUGGUUUUGCAAGCCUGGUAUGAUUUUCCAAUCUAUGUAAUAAAUUGUUUGAGUUCUUUUAGUAUUUAGGCCCUACGUUUGAAAUUUUGAGCAUGAAAAGUCAAAUUGGAUAAUCUUGCAUGGUCGAGGAUCCAUAAAUAUAAUAUCUUUGGCACCUAAUUAAGGCCUUUAGAUUUCCAUAGUCCAUUCUGUUGUGUAAUGGUUUCCAUAGGGCUUUAGAUUUCCAUAGUCAAUUUUCUAGGAUUUACAUUCUUACAACAACAGUUCUUAUAAUUGUUUACAUCCUGAACCUACACCAUCUAUCUAUUGUUUGCAAAAAUAAACUGGGCUAUUCUAGAUAGGAUGGUUACUGCUACAAAAGUUAUGCUCUUUAUAAGAGUUUGAAAGACAAGUCAUCUCACUUAAAGAAAUAAGAAAGUAAGGUAACGUUUCUCUCUUAUUGAUUGGACCAUUCCCGCACAAUCCAAGUAAUGCCAACUAAUUGUUAAAUCUGGCAGCAUACUACUAUUUGUUGAAUGACAACAAAUUGGAAUCAAGAGGACAAAAUUGAAGCCUAUAAAAUCUAUGGGAGUUUUUUUGAAGUUUAUAUGCUUGAUUAUGUUGAAGCCUCUUUUAAUAUCCAAUUUUUUUUUUGUGCAUUUUGUGGUAUCCUUGGUGGCAUGGUGGGGUUUUGCUUGGUUCUGGUGGUGGGUUCUUAUUAGGACCUCUACUUCUUGAACUUGGUGUAAUUCCAUAGGUAGCAAGUGCCAUUGCAACCUUUGUGAUGAUGUUUUCUUCCUCAUUUUCUGUGAUAGAAUUCUAUUUUCUUGAUAGGUUUCCAAUUGGUUAUGCAUUGUGUCUUAUAGGCAUUUAUGUUUUAUCCAGAUUCUGGGGCCAAUAUAUGGUGCAGAAGCUAGUGACAUUUAUGGGAAGGGCUUCAAUUAUUGUCUUCAUCCUUUCUGGUAUAAUUUUUGCCAGUGCUUUGACUAUGGGUGUCGUUGGAAUAGAAACAACAAUUACCAUGAUCAAACAACACUAGUAUCUAGGUUUCCUUAGUAUGUGCGAAAAAUCUUAGCAAAUAAACUAUGUGGGUUAUGGGUUAAAUGAUUUAAUCAAUUAACCACCAAUCCAAGAGAGUGAUUCAAGUUAUGCCAAUAACUCAUUGGAAUUCACUUUCUUGUUUGUAGUGUCCUUGGUCAAUUAUUACUUUAUGAAAGAAAAAAAUCAUAUUUGAAAGGUGAGAAAAUAAAAGCGAUCAAUCUCUCGUUGAUCCAGAGAUGUAUAUGUUCAUAGUGUAAUUUAUGUAAAAUAUAGGGAACAAGGGAUUCUAAAGUUGUGAGUGUUCAUGAUUAGUCUAGUCAUAAAAUUUGCAGUUAUAAGCAUGUAGAUUUAUUGUAGUCAUCAUCCAUGACAAGAGCUAAUUCCCAAACUCACACAGUUAAUACCUCUGGGAAACAUCAGGUAGUGCUCUAAUUUUUGUCUGUGUGAUUUUCAUGACACUGGGAGCAGCAUGGGGGGCUUGUCUGAUACAAUUUUGCUGUAAGUUUCAAUCAUGUUCAACUUUCUAAUAAGCAAAAGUUCAAUGAUAUUAGCUAGGUAUGAGUUUGGUUUCUUUUCAUGGCUUGCACGUUAAGAUUGUGAACGUGACCAAGCUGUGCAAGCAACAACAAAUUGUGACUGUUAGUGGGUAGCUCCCAGGUCCCGCCAUUUAUGUAAAUAAUGGUGACAACCUUGUGGUUCAAGUGCUAAACCAAGUUGCUUACAAUAUUAUAAUCCACCGGUAUAUAACAAGUUCAUGUCCAAUUCCUAGGAGAUCAAAUUAUACAAGACUAAUUGUUUUCAAAACAUCUAAAUGCCUUCAAUUCUCUUUUAUUUUGUGAAAUAAGAUUUAGUAGUAGAUUGGACGCAACUGCAUCAAGCUUCAUAUUUUUUAUUGAAAACAAAAAAAUUGGGUCCAACGUGUGUUUGAAAAGUAAGGGUUUCUGUUUAU